UAAGCGACUAAGCGUACACGGUGGAUGCCCUGGCAGUCAGAGGCGAUGAAGGACGUGCUAAUCUGCGAUAAGCGUCGGUAAGGUGAUAUGAACCGUUAUAACCGGCGAUUUCCGAAUGGGGAAACCCAGUGUGAUUCGUCACACUAUCAUUAACUGAAUCCAUAGGUUAAUGAGGCGAACCGGGGGAACUGAAACAUCUAAGUACCCCGAGGAAAAGAAAUCAACCGAGAUUCCCCCAGUAGCGGCGAGCGAACGGGGAGCAGUCCAGAGCCUGAAUCAGUGUGUGUGUUAGUGGAAGCGUCUGGAAAGGCGCGCGAUACAGGGUGACAGCCCCGUACACAAAAAUGCACAUACUGUGAGCUCGAUGAGUAGGGCGGGACACGUGGUAUCCUGUCUGAAUAUGGGGGGACCAUCCUCCAAGGCUAAAUACUCCUGACUGACCGAUAGUGAACCAGUACCGUGAGGGAAAGGCGAAAAGAACCCCGGCGAGGGGAGUGAAAAAGAACCUGAAACCGUGUACGUACAAGCAGUGGGAGCACGCUUAGGCGUGUGACUGCGUACCUUUUGUAUAAUGGGUCAGCGACUUAUAUUCUGUAGCAAGGUUAACCGAAUAGGGGAGCCGAAGGGAAACCGAGUCUUAACUGGGCGUUAAGUUGCAGGGUAUAGACCCGAAACCCGGUGAUCUAGCCAUGGGCAGGUUGAAGGUUGGGUAACACUAACUGGAGGACCGAACCGACUAAUGUUGAAAAAUUAGCGGAUGACUUGUGGCUGGGGGUGAAAGGCCAAUCAAACCGGGAGAUAGCUGGUUCUCCCCGAAAGCUAUUUAGGUAGCGCCUCGUGAAUUCAUCUCCGGGGGUAGAGCACUGUUUCGGCAAGGGGGUCAUCCCGACUUACCAACCCGAUGCAAACUGCGAAUACCGGAGAAUGUUAUCACGGGAGACACACGGCGGGUGCUAACGUCCGUCGUGAAGAGGGAAACAACCCAGACCGCCAGCUAAGGUCCCAAAGUCAUGGUUAAGUGGGAAACGAUGUGGGAAGGCCCAGACAGCCAGGAUGUUGGCUUAGAAGCAGCCAUCAUUUAAAGAAAGCGUAAUAGCUCACUGGUCGAGUCGGCCUGCGCGGAAGAUGUAACGGGGCUAAACCAUGCACCGAAGCUGCGGCAGCGACGCUUAUGCGUUGUUGGGUAGGGGAGCGUUCUGUAAGCCUGCGAAGGUGUGCUGUGAGGCAUGCUGGAGGUAUCAGAAGUGCGAAUGCUGACAUAAGUAACGAUAAAGCGGGUGAAAAGCCCGCUCGCCGGAAGACCAAGGGUUCCUGUCCAACGUUAAUCGGGGCAGGGUGAGUCGACCCCUAAGGCGAGGCCGAAAGGCGUAGUCGAUGGGAAACAGGUUAAUAUUCCUGUACUUGGUGUUACUGCGAAGGGGGGACGGAGAAGGCUAUGUUGGCCGGGCGACGGUUGUCCCGGUUUAAGCGUGUAGGCUGGUUUUCCAGGCAAAUCCGGAAAAUCAAGGCUGAGGCGUGAUGACGAGGCACUACGGUGCUGAAGCAACAAAUGCCCUGCUUCCAGGAAAAGCCUCUAAGCAUCAGGUAACAUCAAAUCGUACCCCAAACCGACACAGGUGGUCAGGUAGAGAAUACCAAGGCGCUUGAGAGAACUCGGGUGAAGGAACUAGGCAAAAUGGUGCCGUAACUUCGGGAGAAGGCACGCUGAUAUGUAGGUGAAGUCCCUCGCGGAUGGAGCUGAAAUCAGUCGAAGAUACCAGCUGGCUGCAACUGUUUAUUAAAAACACAGCACUGUGCAAACACGAAAGUGGACGUAUACGGUGUGACGCCUGCCCGGUGCCGGAAGGUUAAUUGAUGGGGUUAGCGCAAGCGAAGCUCUUGAUCGAAGCCCCGGUAAACGGCGGCCGUAACUAUAACGGUCCUAAGGUAGCGAAAUUCCUUGUCGGGUAAGUUCCGACCUGCACGAAUGGCGUAAUGAUGGCCAGGCUGUCUCCACCCGAGACUCAGUGAAAUUGAACUCGCUGUGAAGAUGCAGUGUACCCGCGGCAAGACGGAAAGACCCCGUGAACCUUUACUAUAGCUUGACACUGAACAUUGAGCCUUGAUGUGUAGGAUAGGUGGGAGGCUUUGAAGUGUGGACGCCAGUCUGCAUGGAGCCGACCUUGAAAUACCACCCUUUAAUGUUUGAUGUUCUAACGUUGACCCGUGAUCCGGGUUGCGGACAGUGUCUGGUGGGUAGUUUGACUGGGGCGGUCUCCUCCUAAAGAGUAACGGAGGAGCACGAAGGUUGGCUAAUCCUGGUCGGACAUCAGGAGGUUAGUGCAAUGGCAUAAGCCAGCUUGACUGCGAGCGUGACGGCGCGAGCAGGUGCGAAAGCAGGUCAUAGUGAUCCGGUGGUUCUGAAUGGAAGGGCCAUCGCUCAACGGAUAAAAGGUACUCCGGGGAUAACAGGCUGAUACCGCCCAAGAGUUCAUAUCGACGGCGGUGUUUGGCACCUCGAUGUCGGCUCAUCACAUCCUGGGGCUGAAGUAGGUCCCAAGGGUAUGGCUGUUCGCCAUUUAAAGUGGUACGCGAGCUGGGUUUAGAACGUCGUGAGACAGUUCGGUCCCUAUCUGCCGUGGGCGCUGGAGAACUGAGGGGGGCUGCUCCUAGUACGAGAGGACCGGAGUGGACGCAUCACUGGUGUUCGGGUUGUCAUGCCAAUGGCACUGCCCGGUAGCUAAAUGCGGAAGAGAUAAGUGCUGAAAGCAUCUAAGCACGAAACUUGCCCCGAGAUGAGUUCUCCCUGACUCCUUGAGAGUCCUGAAGGAACGUUGAAGACGACGACGUUGAUAGGCCGGGUGUGUAAGCGCAGCGAUGCGUUGAGCUAACCGGUACUAAUGAACCGUGAGGCUUAACCU
rnacentral:rRNA from 1 species